rnacentral:misc_RNA from 1 species
UGAAGUGCACAUUGAAAAAAUGGUGGAUGGUGAUAAGAAUCGAUGAUUUAAUGUUAAUCGUUUUAAGUGUAAAGGAGUUUUAAGUAAAAUAGUAUAUUGUAUCUUUUACAUAACUUGAAGAGCUGAGAAUGGGUUCAAAUAAACGGCAUAAGACCGAGAAGAGCCGUGAUUCUAAGAAGAAGCGUCAUCGAAGCCGUUCACGAAGUUACACGCCUGAACGAGAGAAAUCGGAAAAGCACAGACAUCAUAAAAAGCAUAGGAGAAAAGAACGCAAGGAUUAUGAUAGCGAUGUUGAAAUAGUUAAUGCACCUCCACCCCCAAAAAUCUCUAAGUCUUCACAUCCAUCAACACCUCCACCUCCUGAAAUUUCUAAACAGCGUAGUCCUUCGCCAAACAAAGGGGGAGGAACGCAAAGCUCUCUGUCCAUUGAAGAAACUAACAAAUUAAGAGCAAAAUUAGGUUUAAAGCCAUUAGAAAUUGAUAAUACUUCAAAAGAUGACCCUAACAAGAUUAAAGAUGAUUUGGGAGAAUUUUAUCAUAAGCCAGCUCCUGAUGUUAAUGAAAAAUUAAAAACUCAGAAGUUAAAGGAAAAACUUGGUACUCAGAAACAAAAAAGGCUAAUUGAAGCUAAUUUAGCCAAAGUAAAAAGUUUGGGUGAAUGUGAGUCUGAUGAUGAUACCAAAAAUUGGAUUGAUAAGACCAGGCGUUUGGAAGAAGAGAAGAAAAAAGCAGAAGAAAGGGCAAAAAUGUUAGAUCAAUUAGAUGAAGAAUUUGGCAUUGGAAAUUUGGUUAAAGAAGAAAUUCAUGCAGCUCGUAAUACAGCUUAUACUGAAAAGAAUUUGAAGGGCCUCAAAGUAGAACAUAAUAUCGAAAAAUUUGAAGAAGGUAAAACACUCGUUUUGACAUUAAAAGAUCAAGAAGUACUGGAGGAAGGCGAAGACGUACUCGUUAACAUAAAUAUAACUGAUGAGGAACGUUAUCAACGUAAUAUUUUAAAUAAGACUAAAAAGCCUGGUUAUGAUGCAUACGAUGAUGACAAUUUUGAUGAAUAUGGUUUUGCAAAAAAAACAAUUUUGGAAAAGUAUGAUGAAGAAAUUGAAGGGGAAAAAAAGGAUACAUUUGUACUAGGAACUAAUAUUAAAGAUGUUAAGCAGAAUAAACUUGAUUAUGUUAAACAACGUUUAGCAAAUAAACGACUAGAAUCGUUACAAUUAACAGAACCGAAAUUAGCUAGUGAAUAUUAUAAUGAAGAAGAACUUGCAAAAUUCAAGAAACCAAAGAAAAAAGUUCGAAAAAUUAGGAAGAAAUUAAAGGCAGAGGAUAUAAUUCCAGAAGAUAAUGAUUAUCUUCGAGAUCUUGGAAGUAGAAGAAGCAAACGAACUGAUGAAGUGAAAGAAAACGAUGCUUUAGACGUAGAUGAUAUAGGAGCUCCCACUGAAGAUCUCAGUGGUAUCAAGUUAGAAGAAGAUGACAAAGAACUAGAAUUGCAGUUAGCAUUGAAGAAAACCCAACGUCUAAAAGAGUCUCAGUCAUCAAGUAUUGAAAAAGUCGUUGAAACUAUAAAGCAAGAGCCUAUAGGUACUGAAGAAAAUCAAUCUGGAAAUAUCGUUCUCAAUGCCACUGCAGAAUUUUGUAGAACUUUAGGAGAUAUUCCGACUUAUGGUCUUGCCGGAAACAGAGAAGAAAAUGGACAGGAACUGAUGGAUUUUGAAAUGGAUGGUGUCAAAGAGGAACCACCUACAAAUGAGGAAGAAGAUGAUGGUCGUGGCGCUUGGAAUAUGGUACAUCUAGAUGAAAGCACAUCAGAACCUAUAGCAAUGGAAGCUGCAAUUUUAGAUGCAGAACCUUCACUUGGACAAGGGGUUGGAGGUGCGUUGAAACUCGCUAUGAGCAAAGGAUAUUUGCAAAAAGAGGAUAGUAGUAGACCAUCCGCGUCUCGUUUCGCGCAUCUUCAAGCUCAAAAUUAUUCGAUAGAGGACAAAACCUAUGGUUAACAGUCGUAAAUAAAGAGCUCAGAUUUCGGUGCUCGGAAAAUGGAUGAUCUGCUACUGCAACAAGAGAUUAACUACUUUGUCGGAGAUGGUGAAAGGCCUGAGAAGAGAGUAGGAUUGAUAGAGAGACGAUGAUAAAUUCGGCAGAAGGGAUCGUUUUAAUGGUCCAACAUCAGAGUUCAAGGAGAAAGAUGGUUUCAA